rnacentral:tRNA from 1 species
GGUGGGAUGCGUGAGCGGUUUAAACGAGCGGUCUUGAAAACCGCCAGGUCGAAAGGCCUCGUGAGUUCGAAUCUCACUCCCACCG